UGGAACAUAGAAGAAAUACCUAGAGCUGCUCAUAUGACUAAAGAAGAUUUGAUUUGUGAAGAACAUUUUAUAAAAACACACUAUAGAGAAAAAAGUGGACGUUAUGUGGUACGUCUACCGUUCAAAGAGCCACCACCUGCUGUGAAUAACUCCUAUCAAGUAGCUGUAAGCAGGUUGAAAAGGGUUGAACAAGCUUUCAAAAAGGAACCAACCCUGUGGACAAUGUACAAGGACUUCAUGUAUGAAUAUGAAAAUUCUAAUCAUAUGAAAUUAGUUCAACCAGGUGAGCAACAACCUUUAAUUUAUUUGCCACAUCAUCAUGUGUGCCGGUUGUCUAGUUCUUCUACUAAAUUAAGAGUGGUGGUUUUCGAUGGAUUAAGUAAAAUGAAUGAUGGGCGCUCGUUUAAUGAUUGACUACCUAGUGGUCAUAAUAUGCAAAAAAACAUUGUUGAUGUCAUCACACAUUUCAGAUUUCCAGCCAUUGUGUUUACUGCAGACAUACGUCAAAUGUUCUAGCAAAUACAAGUUCACGGGGACGAUCAGCAGUUUCAAGGCAUCGUAUAGAGAGACAAUCCAUCGAAACCUAUACAGAGCUAUAAACUUGCAACAGUGACGUAUGGACUGAUCACUUCAUUAUAUCAAGCCUUAUGUGUCUUAAAACAAUUAGCAUUGGAUGAAUAAUACAGUUACCCAAUAGGAUCACAGGUCUUAUUAAAUGAUUUGUAUGUUGACAAAGUCAUGUCUGGUGGUGAUUAUAUAAAACUCAAGAACUUAUAGCAUUAUUGAAUCAAGGAAGUUUUGAGCUGGGCAAAUGGGCGAGCAACCAUAGGGAAGCCUUACAACACAUACCCUCUGAACACUAAAUUAAGGAGAUUUCAUUCAAAGAAGAUACAGAUUCCAUCAUUAAAAUAUUGGGCAUCAAUUGGAACACAACAAAUGACACAUUCACAUUUAGGGUGGAACCCAUGAAAGUUAUAUCUCAUCUAACCAAAAGGGAGUUAUUAUCUGAAAUCGCAAGAAACUUUGAUCCUUGUGGUUGGUUAGCACCCCUAGUAGUUGUUGCUAAGUUAAUAAUGCAACAAUUGUGGCAAGAGCACUUAGAGUGGGAUGACCACAUUCUGCAACAUUUAUUUAACGCCUGGAAGAUACAUAGAAUGUCAUUCAAAUUUUUAAACACAUUUGAAAUACCACGACACAUAAUGAAUUCUGCAGCGCAUAGUACAUUUUUACUGCACGGUUUCAGCGUCAGUUCUGAAAAGCCUUAUGCUGCUGUAGUCUACAUCGUUUCCACUCAAAACCAUUUGGUACUCAUGUUGCUUAUAGCAAAAACUCAAGUUGCACCAGUUAAGAAGAUGACCAUUCUAAGAUUGGAGUUAUGUGGGGCGCUGUUACUUCCUGAACUCACUAAUGCUCUACUUCAAUCAAUUAAUAUUGAUACAAUCAGUAUAUUUGUGGUCAGAUUCAAUUAUCAUAUUACAUUGGAUUGGUAGUGAUCCAACUAGAUGGUUGACAUUUGUGUCAAACAGAGUGGGACAGAUUCAAACCUUGACGCCAUCAGCAAAUUGGCAAUAUGUUCCUUCAGCAGACAAUUCAGCAGAUAUGGCCUCAAGAGGUUUAAACGGCCAAGAGCUUGUAUCAAAUCAGUUAUGGUGAAAUGGUCCCAGUUGGCUUACUACCCCGGCAGAGUGGCCAGUAAUAGAAAAUUAUGAAAAUUCUACAUUCAACAUUGAAGAGAGAAUGGUGCAAUGCAGUCUACCAUUAACAUCCAUGUCAAGCCUUUCACCAAGAACUAUAGAUCUAAGGCCAAGCAGACUGUCGGAAGCUGUGCUGUAAGUGAGAGGCACCAAGCACUGCAGUAUUGGAUACGUGUAGUACAAGGUUCAGAAUUUAACAUGGAAUUAACCUCCCUAAGUAGACGUCAGACAGUAAAGGCAAAUAGUCAGCUUGCUGGUUUGAAUCCAUUUAUAAAUGAAAAGAGAAUAUUAAGAGUGGGCGGUCGACUCAAACAUUCAGAAUUGGCUUAUGAUAUGAAGCAUCCUAUUAUUCUACCAAAAAAUCACUUCUUUACUACAUUGAUAAUCAAUCAAGUGCAUCUACAUAACUUACAUUCAAGCUUGUCGGUUACUAUGACAAUUCUAAGACAGAGAUACUGGAUCAUACACAAUAGAAGCUCUGUCAAACAGGUGAUACAUAACUGCAAUAAAUGUUAUUGAUUUCGAAAGACAAAAUGUCAACAACUUAUGUCUGAUUUACCUACAUCCAGAAUUACUUUGGCAACUGCUUUUGAUAGAGUUGGUGUUGAUUUUGCAGGUCCAUUCAAUGUCAAAUCCAAAUUACGCUGUCAAACUUUCACAAAAUCUUACCUAGCACUGUUCAUAUGUUUGACUACUUAGGCAGUACAUUUGGAAAAGGUAGAUGGAUUAAGUACUGAAGAUUUCAUUACUACAUUAAGAUGUUUUAUUGCUCAUCGAGGACAUCCAAGCGUUAUCAGUAGCGAUAACGGUACAAACAAUAAAUUGUGUGAGCUGUAUAAACUAGUUAAGCAACCUGAUCAUCAAAACUCAGUUACCUUAUUCUGUCAAUCAAGAGAAAUUCAGUGGAAAUUCAUUCCUCCUGCUUUGCUUCAUCAUGGCGGGUUGUGGGAAUCAAAUAUUAAGUCUACCAAAGGUAUUUUAAAUAAAGUCACAAGAGACAUGUGCUUUACUGCUGAAGAGCUAAACAUCUUAUUUUGUCAAAUUGAAGCCAUUCUAAACUCAAGACCACUUCAAGCUAUCUCCAUGGAUACUACUGAUUAUUCAGCUUUAACCCCUGGACAUUUCUUAAUAGGAAGGCCACUUCUCUCUUUGCCUGAACCAGAACAAACAGAAGUUCCCCUCAAUCGUUUGACUAGGUGGAACCUUAUACAGUAACUUCAGCGAGGAUUUUGGAAACAGUGGACCUCUGAAUACUUAUGUUCGUUACAAAACAGGCCCAAGUGGCGGUGGUUCAAUCAACCCAAUCUGCAAGUGGGUGACCUUGUUGUAGGGAAGGGUAUCCAGACCUCACCUACACAAUGGCCAUUAGCUCGAAUCACUCAACUGCUUCCAAGUACCAGUGAUGGCCAAGUAAGGGUAGUUAAAAUCCACACAGCUGUAGCCGAACUGACUAGACCCAUCACAAAAUUAAUCAAGUUACCUAUUACUCAAUAAUUAAUUUAUAGUCAUAAAUUUCUAUUUGUU